AACGCACAUUGCGCCCACUGGUACUCCGGUGGGCAUGCCUGUCCGAGCGUCAUUCACACCCCUCGGCUUAGGCCGGUGUUGGGCCCGCCCAAGCGGCGGCCCGCAAAGCAGCGGCCCGGGCGCCGUCGGUCACGGUUGACAGGAGUCUCCCACGGCGGACGUCCGGCGCAGAAGCAUGAACCUUUGACCUCGGAUCAGGUAGGGAUACCCGCUGAACUUAA
rnacentral:misc_RNA from 1 species